AUGCCAUUGUAUAAGUUGGUAGA
rnacentral:siRNA from 1 species